rnacentral:rRNA from 1 species
CAGCCGCCGCGGUAAUACGUAGGUGGCAAGCGUUGUCCGGAAUUAUUGGGCGUAAAGGGCUCGCAGGCGGUUUCUUAAGUCUGAUGUGAAAGCCCCCGGCUCAACCGGGGAGGGUCAUUGGAAACUGGGAAACUUGAGUGCAGAAGAGGAGAGUGGAAUUCCACGUGUAGCGGUGAAAUGCGUAGUGAUGUGGAGGAACACCAGUGGCGAAGGCGACUCUCUGGUCUGUAACUGACGCUGAGGAGCGAAAGCGUGGGGAGCGAACAGGAUUAGAUACCCCUGUAGUCCCUGUCUCUUAUAC